GCAUGUAGUAUGAUUAAGAUUAUUUAAAAUUCUAGAUUGUAGACUGAAGUAUGCAAACAUUUUAAUAUGUUUUUAAUUUAGGUCUUGCUAUCACAGAUGAAAUUUUGCUGAGUAAGGCAGAGUGGUCCAAACUUUUUGAAGCUCCAAACUUCUUUCAAAAGUACAAGCAUUAUAUUGUACUUCUAGCAAGUGCACCAACAGAAAAACAGCGCCUGGAAUGGGUGGGCUUGGUGGAAUCAAAAAUCCGAAUCCUGGUUGGAAGCUUGGAGAAGAAUGAAUUUAUUACACUGGCUCAUGUGAAUCCCCAGUCAUUUCCAGCACCCAAAGAAAAUCCCGACAAGGAAGAAUUUCGCACGAUGUGGGUGAUUGGGUUAGUGUUUAAAAAAACAGAAAACUCUGAAAACCUCAGUGUUGAUCUCACCUAUGAUAUUCAGUCUUUCACAGAUACAGUUUAUAGGCAAGCAAUAAACAGCAAGAUGUUUGAGGUGGAUAUGAAAAUUGCUGCAAUGCAUGUAAAAAGAAAGCAACUCCAUCAACUACUACCUAAUCAUGUGCUUC
rnacentral:sRNA from 1 species